UACGGGGGGGGCAAGCGUUGUUCGGAAUUACUGGGCGUAAAGGGCUUGUAGGUGGCCAACUAAGUCAGACGUGAAAUCCCCAGGCUUAACCUGGGAACUGCGUCUGAUACUGGAUGGCUUGAAUUCGGGAGAGGGAUGCAGAAUUCCAGGUGUAGCGGUGAAAUGCGUAGAUAUCUGGAGGAAUACCGGUGGCGAAGGCGGCAUCCUGGACCGAGAUUGACACUGAUGAGCGAAAGCCAGGGGAGCAAACGGG
rnacentral:rRNA from 1 species